CCCCAUGCAGAAAUACUACUGUUCUCCAUGGGACCAUCAGCAGUGGAUUCUGUGGAAGCCUUGGCUGAGCAGACGGUAGAAUACGGUUAUGAGGAUCAUGGCCUUUUCAAGAAGAAAAGGAACUUCUGGUGGCUGACACCCUGGAUUACACUGAAAGGCUGCACUCCAGAGGCAGUGAAAGGCCACAUAGCAGAAAAAGCAAUGUGCCACCUGGGUUGAACCUGAUGAACCCUCCAGGGUUCAGAGAACAGAUCGCUCCCAAGCACAUCCUCCUUUCCCAGAUGGCCUUGAACAGAUGCAGCCCUCCAUGCAGACUUGGGAUAAAUAUUGUCCAGGAGGGAGAUGGCGCAUGAUGAACCUGCCAGAAGCCAGCUACAGCCAGGGGAGCUGGAAAGCAAAACUCUCUUGUGCUGCAGAUAGGCAGAGAGGCCUCCUUGACUCUUCUCUCUCCUCCAGGAACUCAGAACUUUGUCUUCCUCACUGAACCCACCUCAGACAAACUACUCAAUGGACUCCAGAAAACCCAAAUCUCUUCAGCUUUCUAAAGGAGAUGAAUGAGGAGCCGUCUGGGCCGGAAAUGCAGGUCCCAGAGAACUUUCUCCAGAGAUAUACCAGUUUGGAUGAAGGCUAUGUCCAAAUGAUUCAGAUACAAGAGUUGGGUGGUCCUAGGUUCAGAUCUACACUUUUCUUCUCACCGAUAUCCCUUAAGUAAAGGAAUAGUCAUGGACUCCUCAUGGGUGUGGUGGGCUUAGAUGAUGCUAUGUUUGUACAACUACUGUGCAAAUACAAAGCUUCCCUCAUGCAGGGAGAGGCUUGAACAGC
rnacentral:lncRNA from 1 species